AGUGUCAAGGGAUGGGAAUCGAACCCACGACCUUCCGCUUACCGGGCAGAUGCCAUGACCACUAGGCCAGAUGACC